UUCUUUUGUCACUUGACAGCCGUGUAUGCUAUGCACUGCUCACACAGGAAACAGAAAUUAUUAGUUCACCUCUCGAGUCAACUGGUCUGAGUACGCUAGUAUACGGCUGUCACGUGACAAAAGAACGAACGACUCGAAAAGAAGAUUCAAUCCAGAGCGUACUUGGCACCAAUCUCUUGGAGCAUGCACAUCUGAUUCUCGAGGAGAGGAGUAAGGAGAAAUUUGGGCACAGUCAUACAGUCUGAAGAAACUGCAAAGAGUCCGUGUCAGGGGAGUUUGCUGUCAUUGAUGAGGAUGCAUCUUUGAGGGACAAGUAAAUAUUUUGCAUGAACUAUAAGGCAGGAUGCUACCAGAUACUUUGAUUGUUAAAUGCUGCAAACUUUUUCAUGGAGGAGAAGUUUAUGUGAUGAAAUUGACUGAAUACAUUCAUCAACUGUCCAGUUCUUCAAGGAGAGCUUUACUAGUAUUGUGCAUGAGUUUGCACAAAGAAAAAUCCUUUUGGCCAAAAUAUACAUUGAAGCAAGAGAGGAGAUGCUUGCAGAAGAUCUUCUAGUGUGAUGCUGAUACACCAUAUGAAAAUGGCUUUCACCAGGAUGGUUCAAGUCCUGAUCAAAUGGAUGGUGUGCAGGGGAAUAAGAAUCAAAGAGGGGGUAAUUGCAGCCUUCAGUGCAUACUUUCACCCUGUAUAAAAAAUAUGCUCACUUCCUGCAAUGUGCUAUAGCAAAGAUAUGAGUCAAGAAUCAUUCAAAGAGGUCAUGUGUUCCAGAAGAGACUAUUAACACCGAAAAAUAAAAAUUGUCACAUUUUACUCACCCUCAUGAUGUUUCAAACCUGUAUGACUUUCUUUUCUUAUGUGAGGACAGAAAAGGAGAUAUUUUUAAUGAAUAUAACAGCCCACCCUUUCAAUGCAAUGGCAGUGGAAAGAGGCUCAGUUUACAGCUUAGAGGACACAAAGGAUGUCAUAAAGGUAGUCCAUGUGACUUGUGCGUCUAAUUUCAAGUUGUCUGAAGGCAUACGGUAAUUUAUUUUUUGUGAGAAACAACCUGAAAUGAGAGAAGCUCCUUCAAAGUGGUUUGAGUGUUCACAUGUUCAUUUUGUUCUUUUUUUAAGUUUUAAAGUGAGGGACUGUCAACUGCCGUUGUGUUGAAAAGAUAGCCUGUGAUGUUCAUUAAAACCUAGCCUUUUAUGUGCUCCUAAAAUGUAUUUUUGGGUGAGUAUUAAAGGGUACUUAAGUUAAAAUUAAAUAUGUAUCCUACUGUAUUUGAUGACAAAUUGUGAUUCUGAGAUGUUUAAAGUGUUCAUUCUGUGACAUUGUGAACAAAAAUGUGGAAUUAUUGAAUGUUU